rnacentral:rRNA from 1 species
CAAAGGCUUGGUCCUGACUUUACUAUCAGCUUUAGCUAGAUUUACACAUGCAAGUAUCCGCACCCCUGUGAGAAUGCCCUAACAGCUCCCUGCCCGGGAGCAAGGAGCCGGUAUCAGGCACACAUCUGUUAGCCCAUGACACCUUGCUUUGCCACACCCUCAAGGGAACUCAGCAGUGAUAAACAUUAAGCCAUAAGUGAAAACUUGACUUAGUUAAAGCUAAGAGGGCCGGUAAAACUCGUGCCAGCCACCGCGGCUAUACGAGAGGCCCAAGUUGAUAGCACCCGGCGUAAAGAGUGGUUAUGGAAAAUUAAUACUAAAGCCGCACACCUUCAAAGCUGUCAUACGCAUCCGAAGAAUAGAAGCCCAAUCACGAAAGUAGCUUUACAAAACCUGACCCCACGAAAGCUCUGGUACAAACUGGGAUUAGAUACCCCACUAUGCCUAGCCCUAAACAUUGGCAGUACACUACACACCCUGCCCGCCCGGGAACUACGAGCACCAGCUUAAAACCCAAAGGACUUGGCGGUGCUUUAGACCCCCCUAGAGGAGCCUGUUCUAGAACCGAUAACCCCCGUUCAACCUCACCCUUCCUUGUUCAUCCCGCCUAUAUACCGCCGUCGUCAGCUUACCCUGUGAAGGCCUAAAUAGUAAGCACAACUGGUACAACCCAAAACGUCAGGUCGAGGUGUAGCGUAUGGAAGGGGAAGAAAUGGGCUACAUUCCCUAAAGUAGGGAAUACGAAUGAUGCACUGAAAGAUGCAUCUGAAGGAGGAUUUAGUAGUAAGCGGAAAAUAGCGUGUUCCGCUGAAACUGGCCCUGAAGCGCGCACACACCGCCCGUCACUCUCCCCUAAACCACUAAUUUAAGUAACUAAAACCCUAAUGCCCUAUAAAGGGGAGGCAAGUCGUAACAUGGUAAGGGUACCGGAAGGUGCACUUGGAAAAAU